ACUCCAGCCCAGAGACCUUGCAGUGUAAACUGAAUAAGGGCAACCCUGGGAAGGCAGCACGGUGGAGAGGUUGGGAAGGAAGCCUGGAGCCGUCAAACUGUAUUUGAGUUCCAACUCCAUCUCCUGUCAGCUGUACGAACCUGCUCCUUCAUUUCUGAUUAAGACAUGGAGACCAAGAAUCCUGUCCUGGAAACUUCCCCCUCCCUGUACUCCCAACAGCACCAC
rnacentral:lncRNA from 1 species